rnacentral:rRNA from 1 species
UACGGAGGGGGCUAGCGUUGUUCGGAAUUACUGGGCGUAAAGCGCGCGCAGGCGGCUUUGUAAGUCAGAGGUGAAAUCCCGGGGCUCAACUCCGGAACUGCCUUUGAAACUGCAUUGCUUGAAUGUCGGAGAGGUGAGUGGAAUUCCGAGUGUAGAGGUGAAAUUCGUAGAUAUUCGGAAGAACACCAGUGGCGAAGGCGGCUCACUGGACGACUAUUGACGCUGAGGCAUGAAAGCGUGGGGAGCAAACAGG